rnacentral:rRNA from 1 species
UACGUAGGUGGCAAGCGUUGUCCGGAUUUAUUGGGCGUAAAGAGCUCGUAGGCGGCUUGUCGCGUCGACCGUGAAAACCCGCGGCUUAACUGCGGGCUUGCGGUUGAUACGGGCGGGCUAGAGUUCGGUAGGGGAGACUGGAAUUCCUGGUGUAGCGGUGAAAUGCGCAGAUAUCAGGAGGAACACCGGUGGCGAAGGCGGGUCUCUGGGCAUUAACUGACGCUGAGGAGCGAAAGCAUGGGGAGCGAACAGG